AAGCCGACCAGCUUCCUUGCUUAUUAGGGAGGAGACAAGGACAUGAGGCCAGGGUCGAGUUCAUGUCACGCACACUAUGGAAAACAUUAGUUCAGGUAGUCUCUCUCUAUAUCUCUCAGUUCAGGUAGUCUCUCUCUAUUUCUCUCAGUUCAAGUAGUCUCUCCCUAUUUCUCUCAGUUCAGGUAGUCUCUCAGUUCAGGUAGUCUCUCUCUAUUUCUCUCAGUUCAGGUAGUCUCUCUCUAUUUCUCUCAGUUCAGGUAGUCUCUCUCUAUUUCUCUCAGUUCAGGUAGUCUCUCUCUAUUUCUCUCAGUUCAGGUAGUCUCUCUCUAUUUCUCUCAGUUCAGGUAGUCUCUCUCUAUUUCUCUCAGUUCAGGUAGUCUCUCUCUCUUUCUCUCAGUUCAAGUAGUCUCUCCCUAUUUCUCUCAGUUCAGGUAGUCUCUCAGUUCAGGUAGUCUCUCUCUAUUUCUCUCAGUUCAGGUAGUCUCUCUCUAUUUCUCUCAGUUCAGGUAGUCUCUCUCUAUUUCUCUCAGUUCAGGUAGUCUCUCUCUAUUUCUCUCAGUUCAGGUAGUCUCUCUCUAUUUCUCUCAGUUCAGGUAGUCUCUCUCUAUUUCUCUCAGUUCAGGUAGUCUCUCUCUAUUUCUCUCAGUUCAGGUAGUCUCUCUAUUUCUCUCAGUUCAGGUAGUCUCUCUAUUUCUCUCAGUUCAGGUAGUCUCUCUCUAUUUCUCUCAGUUCAGGUAGUCUCUCUAUUUCUCUCAGUUCAGGUAGUCUCUGUAUUUCUCUCAGUUCAGGUAGUCUCUCUCUAUUUCUCUCAGUUCAGGUAGUCUCUCUAUUUCUCUCAGUUCAGGUAGUCUCUCUAUUUCUCUCAGUUCAGGUAGUCUCUCUCUCUUUCUCUCAGUUCAGGUAGUCUCUCUAUUUCUCUCAGUUCAGGUAGUCUCUCAGUUCAGGUAGUCUCUCUAUUUCUCUCAGUUCAGGUAGUCUCUCUAUUUCUCUCAGUUCAGGUAGUCUCUCUAUUUCUCUCAGUUCAGGUAGUCUCUCUAUUUCUCUCAGUUCAGGUAGUCUCUCAGUUCAGGUAGUCUCUCUCUAUUUCUCUCAGUUCAGGUAGUCUCUCUAUUUCUCUCAGUUCAGGUAGUCUCUCUCUAUUUCUCUCAGUUCAGGUAGUCUCUCUAUUUCUCUCAGUUCAGGUAGUCUCUCUCUAUUUCUCUCAGUUCAGGUAGUCUCUCUCUAUUUCUCUCAGUUCAGGUAGUCUCUCUAUUUCUCUCAGUUCAGGUAGUCUCUCUCUAUUUCUCUCAGUUCAGGUAGUCUCUCUAUUUCUCUCAGUUCAGGUAGUCUCUCUCUAUUUCUCUCAGUUCAGGUAGUCUCUCUCUAUUUCUCUCAGUUCAGGUAGUCUCUCUAUUUCUCUCAGUUCAGGUAGUCUCUCUCUAUUUCUCUCAGUGCAGGUAGUCUCUCUCUAUUUCUCUCAGUUCAGGUAGUCUCUAUUUCUCUCAGUUCAGGUAGUCUCUCUAUUUCUCUCAGUUCAGGUAGUCUCUCUAUUUCUCUCAGUUCAGGUAGUCUCUCUCUAUUUCUCUCAGUUCAGGUAGUCUCUCUCUAUUUCUCUCAGUUCAGGUAGUCCCUCUAUUUCUCUCAGUUCAGGUAGUCUCUCUUCCUAUUUCUCUCAGUUCAGGUAGUCUCUCUAUUUCUCUCAGUUCAGGUAGUCUCUCUCUCUAUUUCUCUCAGUUCAGGUAGUGUCUCUAUUUCUCUCAGUUCAGGUAGUCUCUCUAUUUCUCUCAGUUCAGGUAGUCUCUCUCUAUUUCUCUCAGUUCAGGUAGUCUCUCUCUAUUUCUCUCAGUUCAGGUAGUCUCUCUCUAUUUCUCUCAGUUCAGGUAGUCUCUCUCUAUUUCUCUCAGUUCAGGUAGUCUCUCUCUAUUUCUUUCAGUUCAGGUAGUCUCUCUCUAUUUCUCUCAGUGCAGGUAGUCUCUCUCUAUUUCUCUCAGUUCAGGUAGUCUCUAUUUCUCUCAGUUCAGGUAGUCUCUCUCUAUUUCUUUCAGUUCAGGUAGUCUUUCAGUUCAGGUAGUCUCUCUCUAUUUCUCUCAGUCCAGGUAGUCUCUCUCUAUUUCUCUCAGUUCAGGUAGUCUCUCUAUUUCUCUCAGUUCAGGUAGUCUCUCUCUAUUUCUCUCAGUGCAGGUAGUCUCUCUCUAUUUCUCUCAGUUCAGGUAGUCUCUAUUUCUCUCAGUUCAGGUAGUCUCUCUUCCUAUUUCUCUCAGUUCAGGUAGUGUCUCUAUUUCUCUCAGUUCAGGUAGUCUCUCUCUAUUUCUCUUAGUUCAGGUAGUCUCUCCCCAUUUCUCUCAGUUCAGGUAGUCUCUCUCUAUUUCUCUCAGUUCAGGUAGUCUCUCUCUUUUCUCUCAGUUCAGGUAGUCUCUCUCUCUUUCUCUCAGUUCAGGUAGUCUCUCUCUAUUUCUCUCAGUUCAGGUAGUCUCUCUCUAUUUCUCUCAGUUCAGGUAGUCUCUCUAUUUCUCUCAGUUCAGGUAGUCUCUCUCUCUUUCUCUCAGUUCAGGUAGUCUCUCUCUAUUUCUCUCAGUUCAGGUAGUCUCUCAGUUCAGGUAGUCUCUCUCUAUUUCUUUCAGUUCAGGUAGUCUCUCUCUAUUUCUCUCAGUUCAGGUAGUCUCUCUCUAUUUCUCUCAGUUCAGGUAGUCUCUAUUUCUCUCAGUUCAGGUAGUCUCUCUUCCUAUUUCUCUCAGUUCAGGUAGUCUCUCAGUUCAGGUAGUCUCUCU